AAGGGCACCACAAGAACGCGUGGAGCAUGUGGCUUAAUUUGACUCAACACGGGAAAUCUUACCGGGUCCGGACACACUGAGGAUUGACAGAUAUACGUCGUGUCGCUGACUACUUGUACCGAGCGCACGACUGAAAGAUGCUAGUUCUUUCAUGAUUAUGUGAUAGGUGGUGCAUGGCCGUUCUUAGUUCGUGGAGUGAUCUGUCUGCUUAAUUGCGUAUCAAUAAUAGAGACCUACUAUACGCGUAGAACCGUAUGGUUUGUGACCCCCUCGUUAAGAGGCGUGUGUCGCACAUAUGUGUUAUACGCAUAGGUCUCAGAUAGCAACGAACGUGACCGUACUCUAUUGUUGCAGUAACAUAUACGCCUAACCAACGUAUAAACCACUGCUUAGCAUAUAGCUGCGUCUUACCAACGCGCAAUAUGCAUUAAACUAUAGAGACCGCUGUUUCUUCUUUAAACCAGAGGAAGGAUACGGCAAUAACAGGUCUGUGAUGCCCUCAGAUGUUCCGGGCUGCACACGUGCUACAAUGAUCAUUGCACUGUGCAUCUAACCCAAUGUGCGCGGACGCACGAUUUUGAAUAUGUGCCUCGGUACGUAUUCAUAUAUCUGUUGCGACCGCGCCGAACCUACUUCGAAAGUAAAAUUUCUCAGUGGGUAAUCCAUUAGAAGUAAUGACUCGCAUAGACCAUGGCACAUUAUAUGUACGCGCAAGUCUAUCCGGCCCGCCUUUGUGCGUGGUGCAGUGUAUAGCUUGUUGUUUCGUACGUGCCACUUACGUAUUAAUUCAUACGUGGGGACAGAUCAUUGUUUAAUUGUUGGUCUCGGUCUUAACUAGGAAUGCCUUGUACGGGUCUUUGGUUCAACAAACCCCCCGGAAUACGUCCCUGCCCUUUGUACACACCGCCCGUCGCUCUUACCGAUGGAUUAUACUAUGAAUCUAUAGGACUGCCAAACCUUCUGUGCUCGCACACGGGUUAGUGGAAAUAUAUAUGAAUAGUGUGAUCUAAAGGAAAGAGAAGUCGUAACAAGGCAUCGGUAGGUGAACCUGCAGAAGGAUCA
rnacentral:rRNA from 1 species